GGUUAGCACUCUGGACUUUGAAUCCAGC
rnacentral:piRNA from 7 species